rnacentral:rRNA from 1 species
CAGCCGUAAACUAUGCUCGCUAGGUGUCAGGCAUGGCGCGACCGUGUCUGGUGCCGCAGGGAAGCCGUGAAGCGAGCCACCUGGGAAGUACGGCCGCAAGGCUGAAACUUAAAGGAAUUGGCGGGGGGAGCACAACAACGGGUGGAGCCUGCGGUUUAAUUGGACUCAACGCCGGACAACUCACCGGGGACGACAGCAAUAUGUAGGCCAGGCUGAAGACCUUGCCUGAAUCGCUGAGAGGAGGUGCAUGGCGUAGACGU